UGGGGAAUAUUGGGCAAUGGGCGCAAGCCUGACCCAGCAACGCCGCGUGAGGGAAGAAGGUUUUCGGAUUGUAAACCUCUGUCCUUGGUGACGAAGGAAGUGACGGUAGCCAAGGAGGAAGCCCCGGCCAACUACGCGCCAGCAGCCGCGGUAAUACGGAGGAUGCGAGCGUUAUCCGGAUUUAUUGGGUUUAAAGGGUGCGCAGGCGGCGUGCCAAGUCAGCGGUCAAAGUUCCGGGCUCAACCCGGUGAUGCCGUUGAAACUGGUGUGCUUGAGUGCGUGCGAGGGAGGCGGAAUGCGUUGUGUAGCGGUGAAAUGCAUAGAUAUGACGCAGAACUCCGAUUGCGAAGGCAGCUUUCCAGCACGCCACUGACGCUGAGGCACGAAAGC
rnacentral:rRNA from 1 species